GCACUUCAGCAGGACAUACACUAAAAUAAGAAAGAUACAGAGAAGAUUUGCAUGGCCCCUUGCAAGAAGGACGUGCACAUUUGUGAAGCAUUCCAUAUUUUU